CAGGAACCCGUUUACCAAUUUUCUUCGGUUAUCUCGACGGCAUUGUUUACUGGACAAACCCAUAGGCUUGGAAAGAUGAUGUUUCCAGCUGAAGAUAUCUGGAUAUGUCCGAUUAACAUCAGGGCUCACUGGAUUAUAGUGAUUAUCAUGAUGUCGGAGCAGGUGAUCGUAUUAAUGGACCCGUUGGGAAAUGAAAAAUCAUAUUAUUCAAUGUUGCAUGAGAACUGG